AGAUUGAACGCUGGCGGCAUGCCUUACACAUGCAAGUCGAACGGCAGCACGGGAGCAAUCCUGGUGGCGAGUGGCGAACGGGUGAGUAAUACAUCGGAACGUGCCCAAUCGUGGGGGAUAACGCAGCGAAAGCUGUGCUAAUACCGCAUAAGAUCUACGGAUGAAAGCAGGGGAUCGCAAGACCUUGCGCGAAUGGAGCGGCCGAUCGGCAGAUUAGGUAGUUGG
rnacentral:rRNA from 1 species